rnacentral:tRNA from 1 species
UCCUCAGUAGCUCAGUGGUAGAGCAAUCGGCUGUUAACCGAUUGGUCGAAGGUUCAAAUCCUUCCUGGGGAG